CCCCUCCCCGGGCUCCCCCACGCUCCGUGCCUGCAGGAGCCCCAGGACUUCCCCGGAGGAGCUCACCCCAAGGGGCCCGGACCCCGGCGAGCCCGCCACCGUCCCCUCCAGCGCCUCCGCCACCACCGCAGCAGCCGGAGCAGCAUGGUCCAGCUGGGGAAGCUGCUCCGCGUCCUGACUUUGAUGAAGUUCCCCUGCUGCGUGCUGGAGGUGCUCCUGUGUGCGCUGGCGGCGGCGGCGCGCGGCCAGGAGAUGUACGCCCCGCACUCUAUCCGGAUCGAGGGGGACGUCACCCUCGGGGGGCUGUUCCCCGUGCACGCCAAGGGUCCCAGCGGAGUGCCCUGCGGCGACAUCAAGAGGGAGAACGGGAUCCACAGGCUGGAAGCGAUGCUCUACGCCCUGGACCAGAUCAACAGCGAUCCCAACCUGCUGCCCAACGUGACGCUGGGCGCGCGGAUCCUAGAUACUUGUUCCAGGGACACUUACGCGCUCGAACAGUCGCUCACUUUCGUUCAGGCGCUUAUCCAGAAGGACACCUCCGACGUGCGCUGCACCAACGGCGAGCCUCCGGUUUUCGUCAAGCCGGAGAAAGUAGUUGGAGUGAUUGGGGCUUCCGGGAGUUCGGUCUCCAUCAUGGUAGCCAACAUCCUGAGGCUUUUCCAGAUCCCCCAGAUUAGUUAUGCAUCAACGGCACCUGAGUUAAGUGACGACCGGCGCUAUGACUUCUUCUCUCGAGUGGUCCCACCCGAUUCCUUCCAAGCCCAGGCUAUGGUAGACAUUGUAAAGGCCCUAGGCUGGAAUUAUGUGUCUACUCUCGCAUCUGAAGGAAGUUAUGGAGAGAAAGGUGUGGAAUCCUUCACGCAGAUUUCCAAAGAGGCAGGUGGGCUCUGCAUUGCCCAGUCCGUGAGAAUCCCCCAAGAGCGCAAAGACAGGACCAUUGACUUUGAUAGAAUUAUCAAACAGCUCCUGGACACCCCCAACUCCAGGGCCGUCGUGAUUUUUGCCAACGAUGAGGAUAUAAAGCAGAUCCUUGCAGCAGCCAAAAGAGCUGACCAAGUGGGUCAUUUUCUUUGGGUGGGAUCAGACAGCUGGGGAUCCAAAAUAAAUCCACUGCACCAGCAUGAAGAUAUUGCAGAAGGAGCCAUCACCAUUCAGCCCAAGCGAGCAACUGUGGAAGGGUUUGAUGCCUACUUUACAUCCCGCACACUUGAAAACAACAGAAGAAACGUGUGGUUUGCCGAAUACUGGGAAGAAAACUUCAACUGCAAGCUGACGAUUAGUGGGUCAAAGAAAGAAGACACAGAUCGCAAAUGCACAGGACAGGAGAGAAUUGGGAAAGAUUCCAACUAUGAACAGGAGGGUAAAGUUCAGUUUGUGAUUGACGCAGUCUAUGCUAUGGCCCAUGCCCUUCAUCACAUGAACAAGGAUCUCUGUGCUGACUACCGGGGUGUCUGUCCAGAGAUGGAGCAGGCUGGGGGCAAGAAGUUGUUGAAGUACAUCCGCAACGUUAAUUUCAACGGUAGCGCUGGCACCCCAGUAAUGUUUAAUAAGAAUGGAGAUGCACCUGGGCGUUAUGACAUCUUUCAGUACCAGAUGACAAACACCACCAACCCUGGUUACCGUCUGAUUGGACAGUGGACAGAUGAACUUCAGCUCAACAUAGAGGACAUGCAGUGGGGUAAAGGACUCCGGGAGAUCCCGGCCUCAGUGUGUACACUGCCAUGCAAGCCUGGCCAAAGAAAGAAGACGCAAAAGGGAACUCCUUGCUGCUGGACCUGUGAGCCUUGCGAUGGCUACCAGUACCAGUUUGAUGAGAUGACGUGCCAGCAUUGUCCCUAUGAUCAGCGGCCCAAUGAAAACCGAACUGGCUGCCAGGAUAUCCCCAUCAUCAAACUGGAGUGGCAUUCCCCCUGGGCAGUUAUCCCUGUCUUCCUAGCAAUGUUGGGGAUCAUUGCCACCAUCUUUGUUAUGGCGACUUUCAUCCGCUACAACGACACACCCAUCGUCCGGGCAUCGGGGCGGGAACUGAGUUAUGUUUUAUUGACAGGCAUCUUUCUUUGCUACAUCAUCACUUUCCUGAUGAUAGCCAAACCUGAUGUGGCAGUGUGUUCUUUCCGGAGAGUUUUCUUGGGCUUGGGCAUGUGCAUCAGUUAUGCAGCCCUCUUGACAAAAACCAAUCGGAUUUAUCGCAUAUUUGAACAGGGCAAGAAAUCAGUAACAGCUCCCAGACUCAUAAGUCCAACAUCACAGCUGGCAAUCACCUCCAGUUUAAUAUCAGUUCAGCUUCUAGGUGUUUUCAUUUGGUUUGGUGUCGAUCCACCCAACAUCAUCAUAGACUAUGAUGAACAUAAGACAAUGAACCCUGAGCAGGCCAGGGGUGUUCUCAAAUGUGACAUUACAGAUCUCCAAAUCAUUUGCUCCUUGGGAUAUAGCAUUCUUCUCAUGGUCACAUGUACUGUGUAUGCCAUCAAGACUCGGGGUGUCCCAGAGAAUUUUAAUGAAGCUAAGCCCAUUGGAUUCACUAUGUACACAACAUGUAUAGUAUGGCUUGCCUUCAUUCCAAUUUUUUUUGGCACUGCGCAGUCAGCGGAAAAGCUCUACAUACAAACCACCACGCUUACAAUCUCCAUGAACCUAAGUGCAUCAGUGGCGCUGGGGAUGCUGUACAUGCCGAAAGUGUACAUCAUCAUUUUCCACCCUGAACUCAAUGUGCAGAAACGGAAGCGAAGCUUCAAGGCGGUAGUCACAGCAGCCACCAUGUCAUCGCGGCUGUCACACAAACCCAGUGACAGACCCAACGGUGAGGCAAAGACAGAACUCUGUGAAAACGUAGACCCAAACAACUGCAUACCACCAGUAAGAAAGAGUGUACAAAAGUCUGUUACUUGGUACACUAUUCCACCAACAGUAUAGCUUUUGCCUGCUUUCCAAAAGGUAAGAAACAAUCUAAUUUUUAUUUAUUUGUGUGUUGUCUCCACUGAGAAUUAAAAAUGUUUUCAUGAAAACUCUGCAUGAUUACCUGUAAAUCUAUUCACAUGAAGAAACGUGUUUUCAAAGAUGAGCUGUUUGUUAAGCGUAGUGCAGACAGCUGUUAAGGGUCACGUGCCUGGUUUAUUCUCUGGAGAACAUGUGUAUAGCGUGUGCACGUUUGUCUUUCCGGAACAAGUAGUCAAUGGUGGCAGAAUUGGUGCUGGCCAUUCUGGUCCAUAGUUUACUUUAAAAAUACCAGUGAUGAGAGAUUAUUUUUAAAUGGAUGUUUUCACAUUCUGGUUUUAGAAGGCAAUGUGGAAAACUUAUAAGGAGAGAAGGGGGACGUUUUACAAGCCUAGUAAAAAUGUUUUUUCUGGUUCAUUUAUUAAAUAUUUCUAAUAAAUAAUAUCACUUUUUUAUUAAAUGUCAUUCCUAGAAAUGUGUUCAUUCAAAAAACAAUGAAUGGCCUUCCCAUCUUAAACCCAAAAUGACCUUGGAUCCUUCUUUUCAGCAAAGAAAGAGAAAGCGUUUGCUGGCUCUGCUUGAUAAUGUGUUGAAGAUGGUUUGUGGCUCAUAGUUCUGCCUUAGAGAAACACUGAACCAAGUUCAGUCAUUUCACAGAACAGGGAACAGUUUAAUGAAAGGCCACAAGAGUCAGAGAUGAGUUUCAACAUUAUUCAAACCCAAGAAUUACCAAUAAAUACCAAGAGUAUUCAAACUAAUAGCUUAGAAGAAAUAGUGGAUUGGGAGGAGUGUGAACUAGACACAAGAAUGGACUGGCAUAAGAAUUCUAAUUGAUUUGCCAUUGAUGCCUACAGAUUAUCUGGGGCUCUCACUAAACGAUAUAAAGUUAUGAAAGAAUAAUAGUAAUAUUAUUAUUAUCAUCUCCCUGUUUCAGCCUAAGAAAUAUAAUAUAGUGGAAAACAACACUUGCUUUGGCAAACAUCUUUGUCCAGCUGGGAACAGGGCAUUCCAAACUGUGGGAAAAUAAACAGUAGAAAACAUGGAGGGGAGUUAUUAAAAUCAUGCAGUUGCUUUGAAUAAAAGAUUCCCUUUGAUUUCCUCCGGACCUCUUAUUGUGCUUAUAAAGUAGAUAAAAAAAACCUAUCUCUAGAGUGACUCCAAGAGAGAGAAAGCAGAGAGGUCACAUUGGGUUUGGGGGUGGGGGUGGAAAUAUUGCUUCACAAUGUGGGCUAGUCUCACUUUCCUAUGUUGCUAACAUGGAUCUUUUUAUCACAUCUUUGCUGUGUUUCUUUGCAUCUUUGUUUUUGUAAUAGUAUUCUGAGUACAAAUAAUAUCUCGCUCUUUCCAUAUCCAUUUAGCACUGUAACACAGGACAAGAGUACUUUCAAGGAGUAAUUACGUUUCCUGUUGAUUUUAGACGGAUGCCAGCAACAGAGUCUUUAAUUUCGGAUGUAUUGUUCACAUGGUUAUUUCCUUUCCCAUAUCAACAUGAUCUGUCCUAGUUUCUAAAUAGGCCAUUCUUUUCUCCCCAUGAAUAUAUAACUGUAUUCCAGUGACAUCUCAAGUUUUUGCAGUACAGUGCUUGUCAAAACACUGCAGCUCAUCAUUUUAAUAGUCCUUUUACAUGCAACUGCCUGAGAAUAAAUGAGAAGGAAUUUUCCCUGGGUAAAAACGAUAGAUUUAAUCUCAACCCAUUAAAUAUUCUCUUUAGCUCCAUUCUAAGUUGAUACCUCUUGGUUUAAAGGGUGUAAAAAUAAUAUGUAAGUCAAUCUUUCAGUUAAAAAAUUACUUUCAGGAUGUGCUGUUUAGAAAUAAACUUAAACUUUUUGCUAGGAUUGUCUUGUUUCAAAGAUUUUGAUUAGGUGCUUUCCCUUUCUGCCAGUGUUAAGGUGUCUUGACAACUUAAUGAGAAACAUCUCAUACAGCUCCUUGAAAAAUAAUAAGAAUAGAAGUUGGUCUAAGUCACAUGUAUUCAAAGAAGGAAGGGGUUUACCUUGUUCAGGUUACGAUGAGACUGGAAAGCUUGGACGAGCAGUGAAAGAAGGUGCUAAAUGUAUGUUCGAAUCCACUUCUAUGUGGUUGUUUUCAAGAGACGAAACAGUAAAGAAAAACCUAUAGAUUCAAGAGUGAAUGUUUGUACUACUCAAGUAAAACUUCGAUUUCAGCCACCGUGCCCCAAUGGUGGCACACUAUAUAGAGCAAAUCAUUCUGCUUGUGGGGGUUGAAGAGGCGGGUUCAAAUUCAAACAAAACAGAAUGCAACCUGCUUUGAAAAUGCCUUCCAUAUACUGCCUGCCGUUAAGAGCAUUCUCCUUUGACAAACAUGACAGGCCGGACAUUGGCUGAGUCAACACUGCCUACAACUUUUGUUUGAAUGUUGAGAAAUUUUAAAACUCCGCAGAGUGUUAUCAAUUUAAUGACGUGCACUUUAAAAUGCAAUUAAGCAACAAAAGUGCAAUUAAUCUGGCAUUGUCAUCAGGUCAGGAAAACAAGUUGUUUUGUUAGGAGGUAAAUUUUCACACCACAGGAUGGAGUUCUCAUUAAAAAACUUUAAGAGUCUAACUCAGCCUUGCAAAUAUGGACAUUUAACAGUGGAGUCAUUUUUUUACAAGAUAUCUGCUUCUGAGAAAGUACAUUGGUUGUAAUAUUGUUGCCAUUUCACUAAUGUAUUAAAUGAUGUUGUAAAAAAAUUGGUAAUCUCUUGUUUGUUAAAAUUACUAUAAUGAGGUUAUUUCACAUUUUCAAGCUUUCUAGAACUGUGCGAUCCAAGGUUUUCUGUCAUUUUGAGACUCUCCCUCCUCUGUAACAUUCAAUGUGAUGUCUCGGAGUUAACUGGAGACUCCCUCAAUGUAAAAACUAUUUUGAAGCACUCUAUAAGUAUAGCAUAGCAAAGAAUAUAUGUUAUCUGACCUUUGACAUGAAUCGCCUUAGAAAUAACUGCAGCUAUAAAUCUUUUUGGCAUAUUUCUUUCUGCCUAAAAGAUCUGCGAAAUACCAUCAUUUCUCUUAUCAGGGGUUGAUAUCUCAGCAUCCUCAGAAACCAAUUAAUAUUUGCCAUCUCAGUUCUGCAACUUCAGUUCAACUUAAAGAAGGGGAUAAAAGUUCCCGUGGCAGGAUUUCUACUAUUUCUUAGCAUAAAAGAAACAUACACAUCAUGCCCCAAAGUCAUGAAAACCAUGCCAAGGUUUACAUUUAAGCAUGUCACCACCACAUCUGGGUAGGAUUUAUGAACUGCAAGAGUAUUCUGAAGUUGGGUCAAUCAAAGAAACAUUUAUCAAGCACCUCUCCUAUGGGCCAGCCCUGAACUUACUAGGAAUGAGGGACAGAAGUGGACAGAAGUGGACAAUAUCAUCAGGGAGCCCAGAUCUGAUGGAAGGCUUGAAGGUAAGCAAUUAUAAUUCAGAGUGACAGGGGCUCUUAGAAGAGAUCUGUACCAAGUGCUACCAAGCUACAUGUGGAGAACAUCACCCAGGAGGUUGUGUCUGAGUUGGUCUUAGCAGAUGAAGGAGUCUAGGCAGCCACAAAGACAAGACACUCAAGGCAGGAAACAAGUAUGCACAAAGAACCUGGAGUACAGAAGAAUGUGGUAUGUCUUGGGACUAGAAAGCAGUUCGGUGAAGCUGAAGUGUUGUGUUUUGAGGCAAACGGUUUCAGGAGAUGACACAUAGGAAGCAGCCAGGGCGUAAAGGGAACUAGUUGCCUUUAUCUCUGUGCCUUUAGCAGAGGGCCUGACUAAUACUAGGUUCUCAGAGACUACACACGGGAUGACUGCAGUGCACUACCUCACAGACCAAAGGCACCUAGCCUUCCCUAGAACGUAGUACCUACACAGUGAAUAUCAAAUAAGUAAUUAUUUAUUAAUAAUAAAAAAAAUCAAGUCUACAGCCUCAGCAAGUGGAAUUAUAUUCUCACAGAUAAAACUUCCAGGGUCACAAAGACUGCCCCGAAAAGGCAAUUUUUGACCCUGAUGUCACAGAUUUCAAAACUACGAUGUAGUUUUUAUGUACAACCUUAAAACUGACAGCCAGUGCCACAUCCGCACUUGCGUAAUGUCUCUUUUGAUGAGCUAAACCCAUGUGUAAAACCAAGACAAUGUUAUGCUGAUCUCUCCUUUCAUGGACCAAGAGCAUCUAUACUGCUUUUCUUUCAAAGGGCAUGUGAACUUCAAAGUUACCAUUGGAAAGAGAUCCUACGCACUUGCUUUAAAUGGUUAUAUAGCUUCUAAUUUGAUAAAAACAUAAACAACCACUUCGGUGGUUUUCUGAUUGUUAAGUGCAUUUUCUUAGAGACUGGCAUUCAAGACAGAUUUUGUCUUUUAGGCCCCAAGUUUGCAUUUGAAAAGAAAACAGCGUGUGCCCUAAAACAAGGUCAGUUAAUCUCUACAAUCUUUCUUCCUCCCAAUUACUGUGAAUGAGCAUCUUCUCAGAACUCAAGUGACCAUGACUCUCCUUUCUGCCUACUAAAGACCUGUCUCAGCUUCGCAGAUUUUUUUUUUCGGCUGUACAAUGGAACUUGGAUGCAUUUUAAAUUAACUUUCUCUAGGAAUCAAAGAGUAACCUCUGAGGACCCAAGCUUGUGCAAAGAGGAUGGAGGAAAGCCUCCAAAGUCUGUUCUUACUGAGCUGGCCCAAACACUUAGAAGAAUAUGACCGGAAUCAGCAAUCCCACUUUCUGUGAAAAGUGCAAACACACCUGACCACCUGCACUGGCGUACAGUCCAGCGAUUGGCCAAGGCAAGUGUCUUUUUGCAUCCUUCUAAGCAUCCUGAGGAAGCUUUGCUACCUAGCCCACCAAUGAAUUUAAUGAACGGAGGAGGCCUUGUCCAGGUUCCAGGACGAGCUUAGUCCUGGUGGUGCUCAUCGAAUACCAGCAAUGUCCUCUCAAUAUUCCAAAAUAAGGAGAAAUUACACUAAAAAAGUCUUGAGGCUUUGGCCCAUUAGAGCAUUUUCCAGGGGCUUCAUUUACGAAAGACAUCAAUGCCACCAAAUGAGGGAGAGGUCCCUACUGUGAUCUACUGGGAUACAACCUUAAGAAAGCCAGUCUCUUUUUGGGUACUGGAUUUUCAGUGUGUUCUGAGUCAAGUUGCCGGUUCAGUAACAUCAAUGGGGGCUCCUAUCCGACUCCCAUCUAAAGGAAAAUAAAGUGAAAUAGGGGAUCAACGGGUGAGACUCUAUCAUUCCUGCCAAGCAGGCAAAAUGCUGACUCUUUAGAAAAGAUCACCUCUCUGUGCCUCAGUUCCCUCGUCUGUAACAUACAACCUCACAUGGUGGUUGUGAGGACUAAAGAGUAAAGCCCUUAGAAUAGAGUUUGUCACAGUAGCUGUUCAAAUGCUAGCCAUCAGUGUUGCUGUUACGUCACCUAAAGUUAAUAUAUUU